CGGCUCCCUGAAAGGAGCUCUGCAAUUAGCCAGCGUCACCCUGUAAUAAAGCCUUUAAUAUCCACUUUCACGGCUCACACUGCAGUUGCUCAGCAGCGUUCCUUUCCCUGUUCCCAUUCCAUCCCCAUCCCCAUCCCAUCCCCAUCCUAUCCUCAUUCCAUCCCAUCCCAGUUCCCAUUCCCAUGCCAUCAUCCCAUCCCAUCCCAUCCCAUCCCAUCCCAUCCCAUCCCAUCCCAUCCCACCCCAUGCCAUCCCUGUCCCCAUCCUGCUGCACAGGCGCCUCGGGUCCCAUCCUGACCCACUUUCCAGAGCGAAAACGGCUCUGCCAGCAUUUCAGAGGCGGUUCCCACCUGGGAGCCCUGUGCAGGGCCGGGGUUCCCAGGGUGCUUGCUAACAAAUGCUCACAAUAAGGUAAUUAUGAGAGAAAUAAUAAAUGUGUCAGUCCCACAAGAAGUAUUUUUGCUGGGAGCAAGGGGGGAGCCCUGCCGUUGUGCCGAGUGUGCGUGUGCUCACCGUACAUGUUAAUUAACUGGGUAAAAGCUCCCCAGCCCUGUGCCGUGUACAUUAUUGAUGAGCAUCUUGGGGCGGGGGUGACUUACGGGCUCUCCUGCUCCGCUUGCUGCCUUGCAUUAUCCUUUGGUUUGCUCCCUCCCAGCUGCUGUGUGUCGGUGUGUGCCUGGUGGGACCUGCGGCACGACGCGGGCAGAGAUGGAGUUUUAACCUUCCCAGCUUCUGUCCGGGGAUUUAUUAGCAGUUUCAUCUCCUGCAGCAAUAACUCACCAUGCUCUCCAGGGUAACUCCACACCCUGGAGCAGGCAGGGAUGGGCACCCCCUCAACCCCUCCUGUGUACCCAUGGACUGGGGUGUCCCUGGGACCCCGUCCUGCUGUGCAACCCCUGUCUGCAGCACUGAUGGGACAGGGAUGGGAAUGGGGACAGAGGUGGCUUCGCAGGGGCUGCUGCAAAACCCCCGUCCCCAAGUUCCUUGGCUGGGGCUGCUCGUGUUCCCACACCGACCUGACAGCCGAGGGAUUUUCACUCCCCAAAGGAUUUUCUUAAUUAGCCGACUUCAUAACUCGCUAUUGCGCACACACACACGCCCACUCAUCUCCAUCGCUUCAAAGGCUCUGCCCACCAGUCCUGCUGCGAUGCUGGGGCUGCACCAGCGUGGGGACAUUGUGGUGGCAUCGCGGCAGGGAGGGGACACAGACCCUCUCUCCAGUCCCCAAUGUGGGGACCCUGCUCCCCCAGGGCUGAGCCCAGGAAGAACGGAUGGAGCGCGCUCCUGGCCCUGAAGUUCGUUUCCCUAAUGAGGUCUGUGCUAAGAUGAUUAAGAAGAACUUUAGUGAUGGUUUUUAUAAUCCUGCCUGAAAGGGAAACACGCCUCCACUUCCCUUCCCCCUGCCCUGUCCCUCUUGUCCCCAGCGGCGACGUUCCUGCCUGGUGUCCCUGCACCGAUGUCUUCGCCAGUAGCACUCGGUGGGUUUUUCCUGUUCAUGGGUUGGGUUUGACCCCGGUGCCGCCCAUGGGGCUGGGGCUGGGUGGCUGCGGGUGAGCGAUGCUGAGCAUCCUCCGGGGGGUCCAGGGCAUCCAGGGCAUCCAGGGAGCUGCUGUGGCACGGCCGGGGAGAUGCUGGGAAGGUCAGGGAAGGUGAACUCUGCCGUACCUGGGAUGUACCCACUGUGCUGCACCAUACCUGCUAUACCUGCCCCAUAUCCACCAUACCUGCACCAUGCCCACCGUACCUGCACCAUACCCACUGUACCUGUGCCAUACUCACUGUGCCAUCGCCAUACCCACCGUGCCAUCACUGUACUCACCAUGCCAUCACCAUACCCACCAUGCCAUCGCCAUACUCACUGUGCCAUCACUGUACUCACCAUGCCAUCACCAUACCCACCAUGCCAUCGCCAUACUCACUGUGCCAUCGCCGUACCCGUGUCCCUGGGCUGCAGUAGCACGUAGGCACGGGGCACGUUUCCCUCAGCCUGGUGAGCACGUUGCACGGGAGGAAUUGAUCCCCGUUGUUUCAUUUAUUAGAGGGUGUAAUACCACAGAAACCGUUUCCACGAUAUCCCAAACUAAAUCAUUUAUUCUUGACAAAAAUCCAAUAAAGAGCUCAGUCCUCCUCCAUAGGCAGAUAAAGCCCAGAUUAACGGAGCUGCCGAGAUCAAAAAAAAAAAAAAAAGGAAAAAGAAAAAAAAACGAGGAAAUGCUGGAAAAUGAGCGCGGGAUGUAGAGGAGACUUUUCCCACCUUCUCCCUUUCCCAAGGCUGCAGCAGCUCAGGGUUUUAUUACAAAAAGCCACCUAAGUAUUACAGGCUAAUCCGUAAAUCCCAGCCUAGUAAAAUAUGUGAUGGAUUUUGUAAAUUGUGCCCUUUACAAAUCUGAUUGAACUUUUUUUUUCCCUGCUAGUUCCCUUUUCUUCUCCUUCCCCCUCCUCCCCCCGGGGGAUUUUUGUUCUCCUUGGGGACCACGAUGUCUUUGGGUGCCUGUGUCCUGGCCCUGGCCCCUGUUUGCAGCUGCUUUCCAGUGGGAAUGACAGGGCAGUGAGUCUGGAUCAUGGUGGGAAUGAUGGAUGGGAUGGGAUGGGAUGGAAAUGGGAUGGGGAUGGAAUGGGGUUGCAGAAGGGGAAGAGGGUGGGGAUGGAGAAGGGGACAGGAAGGGAGAUGAGAAUGGAGAAGGGAAUGGGAAUGGGGAUGAUGCUGAGGAAGAGGAUGGGGAUGGAGUUGAGGAAGGAGAAGAGAAUGCAGUUGGGGAAGAGGAAGGGGAUGGGAACAGGGAUGGGGAAGGGGAUGGGAAUGGGGAAGGGGAUGGGGAUGAGGAUGGGGAUGGGGAUGGGGAUGGGAUGGGGAAGGGGAUGGGGAUGGGGAAGGAAUGGAGAUGGGAAUGCAGAGCCUGCCUGUGGCCCCGUGGCUGGAGCAGCUGCCUGCGUUAUUAAUUGCUCCCUUCCCUAUCCCGUCCCUGCGGCAGCCGGCUGUGCAGCGGCAGGAAUUCAGCAGUGAUGAACGCCAAGGCCUGUGAGUGACCACCUCCUCCUCCCCUCGGCCUGACUUUAGGGCAAUCUGGGGACCCCCGGGGACAGGUGUCACUGGGGUGCUCCUGGGUGCCGGCUGGCGCAGGGACACCCUCUCUCCCCCCGCUACGGCAGGGCAGGGAGCCAGGGCUGGGGUGCUGCUGGGGGGUCAGACCAGGUCUGUGUUGUCCUUGGCUGCUCCUCGGAAGCUGCGCAGGGACUUGGCCGCCCAGCCGGGCUAUAAAUCCCGGGUGUCAGACGUGGCGCGGGUCAGUCUGAAGCCCCCGCACGGCUGGGGGACCGCAGAGCAUCGCCCGCCCACGCCGUGCCAGCACAAACACCCGUGGGGUGCUCGGGGUGCCGGGAUGGGCUGGAAAUAGGAUUUUGUACAAGAAUCCCUUCAGGGCAGGUAGGGCAGCCCAGGGUCAUGGGUUCUCCCCAAAUUAAACACGUGUCUGUGUUGAAGGGGGACAAACUUGGGCACGUCUUUCCUUCCUCCGACAUUAUUUCCUGUUAUUUUAUUAAAGCAAGAUGUUGCUGGCAAAA